rnacentral:rRNA from 1 species
UAGAGAUGUGUGAUGACGCAUAUCAAUAAGCGGAGGAAAAGAAACUAACAAGGAUUCCCCUAGUAACGGCGAGUGAAGCGGGAAGAGCUCAAAUUUGAAAUCUUAAAGGGUUUCCCUUUACGAAUUGUAGUUUAAAGAAGUGUUUUCUGUUGGAGUUUCGGUAAAAGUUCUUUGGAAUAGGACAUCAUAGAGGGUGAGAAUCCCGUAUUUGACCGUUACUUUCCAGCUGUGUGAUACACUUUCAAAGAGUCGGAUUGUUUGGGAAUGCAGUCCAAAAUGGGUGGUAAAUUUCAUCUAAAGCUAAAUAUUGGCGAGAGACCGAUAGCGAACAAGUACCGUGAGGGAAAGAUGAAAAGAACUUUGAAAAGAGAGUUAAACAGUACGUGAAAUUGUCAAAAGGGAAGCGUUUGACACCAGUGUUGUUUAGUUGAAAAUCAAUUUAAUAGUUUUUGAUUUUGAGUAGUAUUGACUUCAUCAGCUUGCUGCUCUUUUUCUCAGGAAAUUAUUGAAUGCACUUUUCAGUUAACAAGUCAACAUCAAUUUCUUUUGUUGUAAAAGGGUAAGAGGAAGGUGGCUUACGCUUCGGCGUCAAGUGUUUAUAGCCUUUUACCUCUGCAAUCGGAGAGAUUGAGGUACAUGCAGCGUAGACUCCUUCUGGGGUUAGAUACACUUGUACGCUAAGCUAUAGCCUUGUAUAGACAACAUUGUUGACUAUGCUCAGUCAUGUAGCUUACUCGUAGAUGCUAUUUUACCUACGCUUAGGAUGUUGAUCUGUAGUGCGUGCGC